rnacentral:rRNA from 1 species
UGGGGAAUUUUGGACAAUGGGCGAAAGCCUGAUCCAGCAAUGCCGCGUGUGUGAAGAAGGCCUUCGGGUUGUAAAGCACUUUUGUCCGGAAAGAAAUCCUUGGCUCUAAUACAGUCGGGGGAUGACGGUACCGGAAGAAUAAGCACCGGCUAACUACGUGCCAGCAGCCGCGGUAAUACGUAGGGUGCAAGCGUUAAUCGGAAUUACUGGGCGUAAAGCGUGCGCAGGCGGUUUGCUAAGACCGAUGUGAAAUCCCCGGGCUCAACCUGGGAACUGCAUUGGUGACUGGCAGGCUAGAGUAUGGCAGAGGGGGGUAGAAUUCCACGUGUAGCAGUGAAAUGCGUAGAGAUGUGGAGGAAUACCGAUGGCGAAGGCAGCCCCCUGGGGCCAAAUACUGACGCUCAUGCACGAAAGCGUGGGGAGCAAACAGGAUUAGAUACCCUGGGUAGUCCACGCCCUAAACGAUGUCAACUAGUUGUUGGGGAUUCAUUUCCUUAGUAACGUAGCUAACGCGUGAAGUUGACCGCCUGGGGAGUACGGUCGCAAGAUUAAAACUCAAAUGAAUUGACGGGGU